AUUAGGUAGCCAGCUUUCAGCUUGUUCCUGUCCAGUAAAAAAUACGUAACUAAGCAGAAGCCAGUCUUAUAAGAGGGAGACAAUUUUAAACUCAAACUCAAACAUGUUUUGAAAGACUAAGAAUCUUACAAGAAAAAUAUCAACUCUAUCAAAAUGGCAGAAAACAAACACAUUGACAUUAAAAACUGAAAUUCCCUUUUCUACAUGUUGCUGUACCUUAUAAAAACUGUGGGGCACUUAAGGAAAUACAUUUUCUGAAAUAAAUUAGAUUUGAAAACAAUUUUUCUUCUGUAAAUCCAGUGUUUCAGUUUAUUCUCAUCAUGUUUUGUUUCUAGUACAAUCAUGUAGAAUUGCAUCCUAUCAAUCAAUCCCUGGUUCCAUGUUUGUAAUAUUUAAUAAACUGUACUUAUUCAAGAGA